GAUCAGAAACUAGCUUCUUUCCACUGACUCAACAGACAUUGAAACUCGUUGCUCUAAAGCAGUUGAUAUUAAAUUGUGUUUUAUACACCUAGGGGGAAAAGUACAAUAUUUCAACUCGAGUAUGUAAUUACCAACUUAAACUACAAUGAGGGUCGCAAAAACGUAAGUUGGGACCUCCUAUCUUUUUUUACCGCAUUUGCACCGAGAAGUGUAACUUUCUAUCGGCUAAAAGAGCAGACGUUCAAACUUCGCUCACAGGUGUGAUACGAAAAUAUCAUCAUCGAUUUAAAAUUUAAAUUACUAAAAGUAAAAUUUGAAAACUGAGUAAUUUAAAUAAAUAAAACUUUCUUAUUAAUAUAAUUAAUACGACGAAUCCGAUUAAAAGAGAUCCAUAAUUUAUUACUAUCGAGCUUAUAAGUACACAACUCUCUUCAAAAAUUUCCUAUUCCGGUAUUCUUUUCAACACAUUUAGAAUUUUGUUGCAUUUAAGAAGAAAGUUGUUAUAAUAUAAUAAAAUUUCGUUUUAAAUUCUAAAUUACUUUUGGUGGCUUAAAAAAAAAUAAUUAUCCGUUUCUAUAAAUAGUCAUUUAAAAAUAAAAUAGAUUCGAGUAAAUGCUUCACCAAAAAUAUAUACUACAAGAUAUUAAACUAAAAUUAGCGUACUUUAUAUGUUCUAAAUUAUCAAUUAUUAUAAUUGUUGUUUAUUUUCAUCGCUAUAAUUUCAACCAAUUACAAUUAACUGAAACAAACUCUUUACUUAUCUACACAUAAUAAUAAACUUUUCCUUAUGGGCUAUGUCUAUUUAAUUCCGAAAAUUUUUUUUAAUAAUUUUUUUCAUGUUAUGACUUUUCGCAGUCAAUAAAUUAAAAAAAAAAAAAUCUUUCAAUUUACCGAAAAAAAAAAAAAAAAUAGUUCGUAAUCAAGUCAAAAAAUAAAUUUUUCCAGUUUUUUUUUCACUUGGAAAAUAAAUGAGAUCAAGAUUGCAACUUUCAAGGAUCUUAGUAUUUGAAUGAUAUCAGCAUAUCCUGAAAUUAAUAUCAAAUUUUUGACAGAUAUUCUUGAUACUUUUUAAGUCUGAUGUAACCUCUUUUUUCUCAUUCCUCCACUCUAAUACAAAGUUAAAUCUAAAUUAGAGUUUAAUUUUAUGUACAUGACGUAUUUUGAAAAAGCGAUAAGUCUACAAGUAUUUGGCAGCAGAAAAAUUAAAUGGAAGUUCAAUUCUCUAUUUCAUUUUAAUAAGUACGUCUUGAAUUAAAUAAAUAAAAAAAAAAAAGUUCUCACAAGAUGGCUAAAUUUUCAAAAGUUUUGUUGAUUUUAUAUUUGGCAACAGCUAUUUUAGCUGCCUCAAAUGACUCGACACCUACAUCUUUAGCGUUGCCGAACUCAACUACAUCAACUUCGGGAUUAAGGCCUUCUCUUACAGGAAUUAUAAAAUCAACGUUAAGUUCUUUUGUCAAAGGUCUUGUAUCUGGAUUAAAAUUUUUACUAACUCCGAUAGAAAAAAUACUUGAAUCAAUAUUAAACAUCAUAAAAAAAUUAAUCGAUAUUGUAAAGCGGUUAAUAACUAAAUUUUUAAAAACUUUUUUCAACCCACUGGGCUUGCCAAGUGUGGCUACAACGUUAAUUAAUUUAUUAACCAAAAUACAAGAUGCCAACAAUAAUCUAUUGCAAACAAUCAAAAGCAACUUAUCAACAGUGUUAUAGCAAUAAGACACAAUCAAUUGAUCUCCAUUGAAGUGGCGAAGCGCGGGUUAUUUUAGAAUUGUUGUGAGAAAGCUUCUUAUUACUAGAAGAAAUACUUCAUUCAGUGGUUUCACAACAAUUAGUACCGCAUUAUCGCUCAUAAAUACCAACCGAGACAGGUCAUACUAUUUAUAAAGCUGCAACAAUUAUAAUUGAACCUAUUAUUUCAAUCCUUCUUACUAAUUCAUAUUCAAUUGUAUUAUUUUAUACAAAAUAAAAAAAAAUAACUUCUGAAUGGAAAUUUGAAAUGAGUAUGAAUGCAGUAGACAUCAGGCGAAUUUAAAAUUAUAAAUAAAUAGAGUAAAUAAUUUAAAAAAAAAUAAUAUUUAUAAAAAAUGCAUUUGCUAAUUUUUAAAGUUUUUAAAUGCGUAUUUUUUUUUAAUUUUAAUUUAUCAUUUAUUAAUAAUUUUAAAUUUGUCUGAUGUCUGCUACAUUUACGAUCAUAAAUUCUAAAGAUUAAUUAGUAAUCGAUUGAUUGUUUCGAUCUACUAAAAAAUAUAUAA